AAAACUCAGGCAGGGGGGAGUGUGGUUGUAGCUGGCCCCCUAAUAAGGGCAUGUGCACACUGUCUCUUUCUCUUGUUUGUUUUUUUCAUUCUUUCCACUUGUGCACUGCUUGUAGGCAGCCUGGCAUUGUUCGGGUUGUCUAUGAUUUUCUUUUACAUACAUGAAUCAUUGUUGUACAGAAUGUGAUAAAAAUGAAUAAUACAACUUUCAACAACGGAUCUCUUGGCUCUCGCAUCGAUGAAGAACGCAGCGAAAUGCGAUAAGUAAUGUGAAUUGCAGAAUUCAGUGAAUCAUCGAAUCUUUGAACGCAUCUUGCGCUCCUUGGUAUUCCGAGGAGCAUGCCUGUUUGAGUGUCAUUAAAUUCUGUCAAAACAUGCACUUGAGUGUGUUUUGGAUUGUGGGAGUGUCUGCUGGCUUUAUAUGAGUCAGCUCUCCUGAAAGACAUUAGCUUUGGAGGGAUGUGCCAAGUCACUUCUGCCUUUCCAUUGGUGUGAUAGAUGAAUAAACUUAUCUACGCCAGGAAAGCAGGUUGCAGGUGAUGCACUGUGAUC
rnacentral:rRNA from 1 species